UAGUAUCAGCGUGUCAGCAGCCGCGGUAAUACGUAGGGGGCAAGCGUUGUCCGGAAUCAUUGGGCGUAAAGCGAGCGUAGGCGGCCCGAUAAGUCUGCUGUGAAAGUCAACGGCUCAACCGUUGAAAGCCGGUGGAUACUGUCGGGCUAGAGUUCGGAAGAGGCAAGUGGAAUUCCUGGUGUAGCGGUGGAAUGCGCAGAUAUCAGGAGGAACACCCAUAGCGAAGGCAGCUUGCUGGGACGAUACUGACGCUAAGGCUCGAAAGCGUGGGGAGCGAACAGGAUUAGAUACCCUGGUAGUCCACGCCGUAAACGAUGAGAACUAGGUGUGGGAGGUGUCGACUCCUCCCGUGCCGUCGCUAACGCAUUAAGUCUCCGCCUGGGGAGUACGGCCGCAAGGCUAAAACUUAAAUGAAUUGACGGG
rnacentral:rRNA from 1 species